CCACAGAGGCAGCUGACAUCGAAAAUGGUACCUCGUGUGAGUGAUCAGGUUUGAUUUGGAGACUUCCCCCUUUGGCUUGAACCUCAGCUCGGAAACUUUCUCUCUCCAGAAUAGUAUUGCACAGAGCUCGGUGUUCAAGAGUGAAAUCCCAUGGCACUGCAGGUCCCCACGCAUCAACCUCUCCAUAUUCCCUGCCAGUCAACGUUCUCUGGUUUUGGGGAAGACUUCUUCCACAUGACAUGAACAGAGAGGAAUACAUUCAGGGAGACUGGAAACAUGAGCAUGAACGUGAUCACUAACUCGGCAUUCCAAAAAACGUGUAAAGAACUGAGAAGAGAGCCUGGAAACCGGUUUGAACAUCGUGUUGUUGGUAAAGUCAGCUAUUCCAUCUGUCAGUAUUCACAUCAUACAACACUGCAGGUAGGUACCAGGCAGGUGUCUCCAUCA